rnacentral:rRNA from 1 species
UACGGGGGAGCAAGCGUUGUUCGGAUUUACUGGGCGUAAAGGGCGCGUAGGCGGCCAGCACAAGUCAGUUGUGAAAUCUCCGGGCUUAACUCGGAAAGGUCAACUGAUACUGUGCGGCUAGAGUGCAGAAGGGGCAACUGGAAUUCUCGGUGUAGCGGUGAAAUGCGUAGAUAUCGAGAGGAACACCUGCGGCGAAGGCGGGUUGCUGGGCUGACACUGACGCUGAUGCGCGAAAGCCAGGGAGGCGAACGGG